rnacentral:lncRNA from 1 species
UCUCCAUUCACUAGAACGGGCAGCUAAAUCUUGCUAAUUGAAUUGUCCUGGGCAGGUUCUGAGUAAGCCUGGAUUGGAUUUUGUUAAUGCCAAUCAAUGAGUUUGUCCUGGUUUUGCAGAACAAGCCCCGUGUGCUGAGCUGUGCUCGGCUCAGCACGGGCCGUGAGCCACGAUCAGAAACGUGGUCAUGGCACUGAAAGCCAACAAAGGUCAAGCUCUGCUCUGCGAGGAAACCUUGAUACAGAUCUCCAGCACCAGAGGACUGUCUGUUCUGUAAAAUGCAGAGGUGCUUCCAAGAUGACUCUCGCACUCAGAGAUACUCACGGUACUCCCAGGUUGCCGCCAGUGGGAUUUUGGCUGAUUAUCCCAGCCCACAGAACUGGCAGUGUACUCAGAGCUCUUGGCCAGGAACACAGAGCCAUUCCCAAGGCAGAAAAUUAGUCCUUAAAAUUACUGCUCUGGCCACUACAGCUGAGGAACAGUUUCAGUGCUAUACUUGUCCCUUGACCACUGUAUCCUGUGAGAGUUACUGAUAUUACAAGCACAGCUCUGCAAAAACUCCUUGAAAGAAGGAUGAAGAACUAAGCCACAGAAGCUACUUCAAUUGCUACUUCAAACUCCCUGGGGAGUGAUCUGAGCUCAGGGAUGCAGUGUGGUCACACCCAGGCUGUCCAGAGCACACAGACCAUACACACACAAGACAGAACUUCCCUGCAGAUCUCCUCACAGGAUAUCCUGUGUGGUAUCUCUGUGGCAGCCAGACUUGGUUAUUUUAUAACUUUCAUCAGUUUAUGGUGUCACGAAUAAUUUCUGUUUCCUGCAGCCCGCCAGAACAGAAUUUUCAUGGCAUGAGACAGACAUUAUGUGCUGUGUACAUCUGUGUAUCACAGUGUAUGGGAGUGUCCAAGCACCCUGCCUGGAGAGGGUUACAGGGCUGUGUAGAGAUCCAAGCCAGGUACAUUUAUCUGUUCUGCCUACUGGUAGUCUGGAAGCAAAAUUUUCCCAAGAAACACAUGAUGGUUUCUAAUGGAACUAGCUAAUCCACUGAUGAAGGAAGCCCAGAAGUGAACUGCACUGUGUCUGUGCAGGAUAGACUGCCAUGGGACCACAAUGGAUGAAGGAAGUGGGGGCAUAGCCAUUUGAGAGUAUAGACACAUCCAGAUGAAAAAAGAUGUGUACUCAUGAGCUGAAGGAAGUUACAAAUGCAUUUAAGUCUGGGUUCUGCAGAGGAGUCCACAGAGACAGAACAAAGGUAGUGCCCUAAAGCAGCCAGUGAGACUGUCCCAAGAGUCUGUGAAACACAGGAACUUCAGCUAAAGGAGAGAGUGAUGCCAAGCACCUACUCCUUUGUUUCUUCUUCUACAUGUGUGACUGUUUUUUGCUUAUUACCACUGAUGUCUUAAGCAUCAGACACCAACUGAGUCUCCAUAAACAGUUGAUUUGGAAGAUUAAAUAUAUGUGGUCAAUUCUGUCUAUGAAAAUUCUUUUGAUGUACAGCUACAGCAGCGAGAAGGAAUCUGCAGCUGCAAGCUGAGGAGCAGGAAGGAAAAAUACAGAUUUUAUAGAUUUAUUUAUUUAAAACAAAUUCCUUGAUUAAGCAUUGCAGUCAGAUCUGUCAGAUGUGCAAGUCACACUAUGUGAGUGAAGGCUGAAGUGCUGAUUCUUGCUUAGAGUUAUUCUAAAGCCAAUUGUCACUUCCAUGACUUUAGUACACUAGCUUCUCUCAGCUGUCCUACACGGGCAGUGAGGGAAAUGCUACAAGAUUCAUCCAAUCCAGGGCAAAAUGGCUGGGUCAAUGGGCUGAAGCCAAUUGCACAAGGUUUAACAAGGUGAGUCCUGAACUUGAGUCACAACAACCCCUGCAGUGACAUAGGCUGGGGAAGAGUGGCUGGAAUGCAGCCCAGAGGAGAACCUGGAUGGGGUGCUGGUCAACAGCAGCUGAAUGUGAGCCAGUGUGUGCCCAGCUGGCCAAGAAGGCCAAGGACAUCCUUUGCUGUGUCAGCAAUAGAGUGCCCAGCAGGACCAGUGACCAUUGUCCUGCCUGUAAAUCUCAUCUCCACAACAGACAGAGCCUCCAUCUGAAUGGAUUACUCACCUGGACAUCAUAAGGGGUUAUUCUUCACAGGUUUUGACACCCAAGGUUGUCCUGGUUAAGACACCUAAUUCCAAAAUAUACUUAAUAGUCAUUAAAACAGCAUACAUGAUGGACUGAGUUCUCGAGGGUCAGCUGAAAUUCAGCUCCUCAGAAUUUCCUCCUGACAGAGCUGGUGAUUUACCACUCUGGGAGCUCACUCUUCCAUGCUCAGGUCUCGUGAUUGAUUGGGAAGAGAAACUGGACAGAAAAUUUUUGUCUUCUGAUUCUAUUAGCCUGGGACAUAUCUGAAUGUAAAGAUUUGCAACACUGGAAUUUGCCCCUGCACCUGAGAGAAGCACCCUGAUAUGCACUCCAGUCAUCAGGGGGCAUCUACUGUGAAAUUGUGGUGGGCUGGCUUGUCUGGCCACCAGGUGUCCACCAACUCUGUAAAUCAAAGACAAUGUAAGGAAGCACCACCUUCGAGUUGGCUCUAGCAACAUCUUUAGUGUUAGCAGACAACAUCACACUCAAUGUGGCAAGACAGAAAUGAAAGUGUAAGUGAGGUGGUUCUGGGGUAUGUACACCUUGACUUGCUACUCUACAGGAUAAUACCAGAUGACUGUGUUGGGUUGUAUUAAUUUUUUCUCUAUGCCAAACAUGCAGCCUGUAGGAUGUGUGUGACCAUCAGGGCAAAUCAGACACCCAGAGACCUUGCCUUGCUCACCUCAUUUUUUUUUGCCAUGAAGAAAUCUGAAACAGGCAUUUGACUACGUAUGUAUUUCAUAUUCCUAAUGUCUCAAGGAAACAUGGGAUUACAUACACACAGCUAAACUUUCUUUAAUGAAUAAGAAAAACAAUAUUUCCCAAUGUGGUCUACUUAGCAGGAAGGUCUCUGCUCAGCCAGUGUAGUGGAAUUGUACUUGACGAGUAAAAUUGUAAAGCAGCAAUCUAAACAGCAGCUUCUUCCAAGCAGUAAUGCCACAAUUAACAGAAGUGUUUCUCCAUUCCCCAAAAACAUAGCUGCUUGUGAAGCCCACUUAAAAUGAUGACAUCUGAUGACUUGCAGACCAAACACAAAACAGUUAUUCCAUACUUUUACAUGAAGUAGAAGAUAAUUAUUUUUGGAAUUUUUAUUAAGAGACCCAGAAGCUGCAGUAGUUUAUGCUUCUACUGACGCAGAUAUAUCUGAGGCAUUAAAAAUGGUGGAUAAAGGAGCAGUUCAGUUUACAUUUUCUUUCCAUUCUGCUACUGCACAGAGCUGGAGAAAGCUCAGUCCCACUGUUCCUACAAAGUGAUAUUAUCCUUACAGCUACUUGUGUCAGCCAAGCCAUAUGGAUGACCUUGGUUUGGGUUAUAUUUUCACAAAAUUUUAAAAACAACAGGAUCAUUUCCUUUUGUUUAUCUAUUCCCUUGUUCAAAUAAAAGAAGUUGAAAUAAUAUGAAACA